AACGAACGCUGGCGGCAUGCCUAACACAUGCAAGUCGAACGAGACCUUCGGGUCUAGUGGCGCACGGGUGCGUAACGCGUGGGAACCUGCCCUUAGGUUCGGAAUAACUCCCCGAAAGGGGUGCUAAUACCGGAUAAUGUCUUCGGACCAAAGAUUUAUCGCCCUUGGAUGGGCACGCGUUGGAUUAGCUAGUUGGUAGGGUAAAAGCCUACCAAGGCGACGAUCCAUAGCUGGUCUGAGAGGAUGAUCAGCCACACUGGGACUGAGACACGGCCCAGACUCCUACGGGAGGCAGCAGUGGGGAAUAUUGGACAAUGGGCGAAAGCCUGAUCCAGCAAUGCCGCGUGAGUGAUGAAGGCCUUAGGGUUGUAAAGCUCUUUUACCCGGGAUGAUAAUGACAGUACCGGGAGAAUAAGCUCCGGCUAACUCCGUG
rnacentral:rRNA from 1 species